UUUACUUCUGAACACAGAACUGUACUUAACUGAAAGAUAUGCGUGAUAAUCGCAGAUUCUGCCUAAUCGCAAUUUAUCGACUUUGAAAUUUAAUUUCGAUUAAUCGUGCAGCCUAACUAUCAGUUAAACAUUACCUUGAACACAACCCGAAGCCCGAGAGUUUUUCUGGACUCUUCAGGCUCAUGUCAGGUAGCAGAGUUUUAAAGCCAAGCCGACGGACGGCCCGAUUCAGAAUGUUGAUUGGCUGUUAAUCUGCUGAUCAGUUAUUGAAUGAGAGCAUGAGGAGAAACACUAGGUGUUCACAUUGACACUUUUUGCUUCCAUUGGAUUGAAUACAUUCUGCUGACGAAUCAGAACGUAGUGUUUACAUGAACGCUGAAUAAAGUGAUCGGGUUGAUGUGCGCGUUUAAAUGUUACAAGCUUCUGGUCGGAUUUACUCUUGACAUAAGCACACUGCAUGAAUACACAGAGUUUCCCGCUGCUGUUGAAUACUGUUUUAAAAAGCACACGUGAUAUUUAUCUACUUUAGGACCUAAUAAGGCGAUGACCAGCACAUGAACUGUUGUGCUGCUUAACUUUACUUAAAAUAAAAUAAAAAAAGGUGUAAAAGUGCCCUUUCUUGCACACAAAACUAGUCGUCUGUUGAUGAGUCUUAAACAAGGACUGGGGGGACGUGAUCCUGUUCCACUUCACAUACGUUGAGUGAAAGGGGAGUUUUAUAAUGACAGGACACUUCUUUAUGACACUUUAGUCACCAGGAAGAACAACUUGUUGCGCACGUCAUACGUCAUUACGCUAUGUCUACAUCACUUUCCCGUGUCCGUUUUCAAUCCGAUCAAGUGUUUACAUGUCCUCUCGCUCAGAUUAUAAAAGGGAUUAUCCACCCCUUACAAUCUGAUCAAAAUUUUAGUCGGAUCUGGCCAAUUCAAUCCGAUUGACGUGUUUACAUGUGACUUUUUUUAUUCUGAUUGUGCUUCUAGUCUUUGGAUUGGAUUACUAGUGUCCGUGUAAACGCACCUACUGAAUUGCUGAAACCAAGCAAAUGACGAAGUCAAGAGGGACCACAAAGAAAUGGGAUGUCAUAUUAAAAAAUAAAAAUGUUAUUGUAAUUAAUCACUUACCUUUAUGUCAUUCCAAACCCUUAAAUGCUUCAUUCAUCUUCGGAACACAAUUUAAGAUAUUUUGGAUGUAAACCGUUAGCUUUGUUACUGUCCCAUUAACUGCCAAGUAAAUUACACUGUCAAGGUCUCAAAGUAUCAUCAGAAUAGUCCAUCUGCCAUCAGUGGUUCAACCAUUGUUAUGAAGCGACAAAAAUGCUUUUUAUACACAAAGAAAACAAAACUAACAACUUUAUUCAACAAUUUGUCUCUUCUGUCUCAGCCAUGCCAUGAGGAUAUGUCUUCGAUGUGUAUUUAUGCUUUGAUUUUAAAGAAAACUGCUAAAUAUCAUAUAAUUUUGAUGCUAUAUCGCCCACCCCUACUAGCUUUACGAAAGUAUUGUAAUUUCUCAACUGUGGUAUAAAGCUAAAAUAAUACACCUUUAAAUUAUUCAUUAUCAUUUAUUUUACAGUGACAUUUUUACAAUGCCGUUGUAAUUAUAAUUAUAUUCUAAUUUGUUUAGCUUCCUGAAACACCAGUAUCAAUGUUAUUUAGACUGAGACAGUAUAUCACAAAUAAAAAGAGGGUUGAAUCCCCUUUAACAUGUUAACCAACACCAGGAUGCCAGCGCACUGAAACAGAUUGUUUGCACAUCAACAGUUACGAAUAGAUUAAAUGAAAAGGGCAUUUUUGACAAACUAUAUAUAAUUCUCAAGGUCUAGGCCUCAAGCAUCGAUGAUAGAUCACUGUUUUUACAAUGAAAAACGUAUCUGCUAAAUUUAUGUAAGCCGUGCACAUCAAAACAUCCAAAAUAAAAACGCAGUAGAUACCAGUUUCAUCGUAUUAAGUCACAAACGUAUCCACUGCUGUGUGCAGUUAAACAGGUUUAAGUUCCGGUACGUCUUUUUUCUUAUGUUUUCUUGGUUAAGAAACAUGGGUUGUAGUUCUUAAUUGUGAACGCUCAAAAUGCAGCACAAUAAUGCAAAAUGUAAUCACCAACUAGCCACCCCCAAUUUUUUAUUUAUAUAGAUGUAUAUCACAAUAAUAUUGUAUCGUGAGAUUUUGACAUUGUUAUAUCUUUAGUGUUUAGACAAAGAUAGGGGGCCUGUUUACAAUUAACAGGAGGCUAGGAAGUAAAUGGGAAUUAUAAUCUGAUUAUUUGUAUAUUUUUCCUGUCUUAACACCUUUUUCAAGUUUUUCAAGCUUUGAAUGAAUGCAUGGGAUAAGUGUUCUCAUUCCCACCUAAAGCUCUUGUAGCUAGUUGCCUGGAUAUUAGCAGGAAGGAAGAGAAAGAUAAAUUAUCAGACUCAAUUUUCAAGAACACCACACCAACUCCAGGCUUGGUAAGUGCACAUCGCAUGAUUACUUUACAGUUUGCCAAGUCCUGCAAGAAAACCAUUUUAAUUGUGUCUGUUUGAUAGUGUUGGGGGAAUGGGGGUUUGUCUUUUUUCUUUUUUUUUCUCUACAGCUUACUGCCAUAGUUAUAAACAUUUCAAUCCAGAUCCACAUUUGGAAAAGAGGAAUCAUGAAAAAAAAAAAAGAAAUAUAUAUAUAGGUCACUCAAUGAAAAUUGCUUGCUCUCAUGUCAUUCCAAACCUGCAUAUUUUUUAAUCUAUACAAAAAUAAAGUUGUUGGCUUUUUUUUUUAAGCAAAGUAAAAAAGCUUCAUACGAAUCUGUGUGAAAUAAAAAUUUCAGUUCAAAACAAGUGGCCCAUUGUCUAUUGUGACUAUAGCCAAGGCCAAAGGUUUUGAGAAUGACAAAUUUUAAUUUUCACAAAGUCUGCUGCUUCAGUGUUUUUAUAUCAGUUUGUCAGAUGUUACUAUGUUAUGCUUGAGUAUAAUUGCAAGAAUUUUGUAAGUGUUUAAGGCUCUUAUUGACAAUCACGUUAAGUUUAUGUAAAGACUCAUUAUUUGCAGUGUUGACCCUUCUUUUUCAAGACCUCUGCAGUUCAUCCUGACAUGCUGUCAAUCAACUUGUGGGCCACAUCCUGACUGAUGGCAGCCCAUUCUUAAAUAAUCAAUUCUCUGAGUUUGUCUGAAUUUGUGGGUUUUUGUUUGUCCACCCGUCUCUUGAGGAUUGACCACAAGUUCACAAUGGAAUUAAGGUCUUGGGAGCUGCCUGUCCAUGAACCCACAAUUUUGAAGUUUUUUGUUUUGUUUGUCCCCGAGCCGCUUAGUUAUCACUUAGUUAUCACCUAAUGGCAAGGUGAUCCAACAUGCUGGAAAAGGCAUUAAUAAUCACCUAACUGUUCUUGGGUGGUUGGCAAAAGUUCCUCUCCAAGGAUGUUUUUAUACCAUUCUUUAUUCAUGGCUGUGUUCUCAUUUUGAGAGAGCCCCACUCCCUUGGCUAAGAACCAUAGUUAACAGAGGAAAAACAAUGAUUUCAAGCACCAUCCUCCUUUUAAAGCAUCCAGUCUGUUAAUCUAACUCAAUCAGCAUGACAGCCUUGCCCUCGUCAACACACUCACCUGUUAACGAGAGAAUCACUGACAUGAUGUCAGCUGGUCCAUUUGUGGCAGAGCAGUGGAAAUGAUUUGGGAUUAAGUUGUAACAGUCUUCAUCCUGCUACUAGUUGAGUUCAGCUGCAGUUUUUGCUUUUUUUUUUCAGAAAUCAUUGUAAUAUGUUGAUUUGGUGCUCAGUACUAAAUAAUUAAAUAAACCUUUUCCAAAGUAAAAUAAAUCACUUUUUGAAAACUUGCCUAAUGGAGAUCGUAAUGUUUUUUUUCUUCUCAGGCUUCUUUGAAAAACCAAAAGUUAAAAAUAACCUUUAUUUGAAAUACAAAACUUUGGUAACAUUGUUUUUGUAACAUCUUCAGUUUGAUUAAUUUAUUGCAUCCAUUAAUAAAUGUUCAUUUAUUUAUUUCUUUAAAAAAAAAACAAUCUUUUGAAUGGUAGUGUAUCUAAAGUAGUCAAAUUCAAUGAGAGAUGACGAAGUUGACAUAGAAAUGAAGUUUCGAUAGUCCGUUCAGAGUUUCCUAAAAAUGGUCACAUUCAGGUGGCUCAAAAAAAAGUGUGAAAUUUCAAAUAGCAAUGGGAAAUGUGACUGCACCUUUAGUCACAUGGGUUUGGAGCAACACAAGGGUUAGUAAAUGUCAUACAUUUUUUGGUAAAUAUUUUUAUUAAUUCCCUGCUUAGAGCCAUUGGAAUAAUUUUUAUACAGUGAAAAAUUUAAGUCACAAAGUUAAUAAAGUAAAGGUGCUGUAGGAGAUCUUGGAAAAUGCUAACUUUAGUCUGAUAGCACUGAAAGUCCCACCCUCCCUCCAAUCGCCGUCCAAAGCCACGCCCCCUGAAGGCAUAUACACACACAGAUUAGAUGACCAGAGACAAAAUUACUACAAUGCAUCAUGUUAUACACUGGUGAGAAAACUUCAUUAUACAGUUAGUAAGAGUACUACAAUACCAGGUAGGAAGAUCAGGUUGUUGAUGCUUACCUGCCUUUUUCACUCUGUCUGCAUAGCGUAUGUGAUUGUGCUGAUGACGUAUCCUGUCUGCGUGAACCGAGUAUGCAAAUACAUGUUUACCGGCAGGUAGGAAAGUCAAUUGAAAAACUUGGAAUGAGAAUUUUGAUUGGACGAACAUUUCUUGGUCUUACACCUUCCACCAAAUAUAUAAAUACUUUUAAACCACUUAACCACUUAGAAAGUCUUUUUUUUUUUUUUUUUUUACUGCACCUUUAAUAAAGUUCAGUUAAAUUAAGUUAAAAAAAUAAUAAUAAUAACAUUCCUUUUAAUUAGAACAUCUUAAUUCAUUUCUGGAAUUUGUAUAGACUAGUAUGAAUUUAUACAGAAUAUAUCACAUAACAUUUGCCAAAUUGUUGACAUCACCCUGCAUGUAGUUAGCACUGUAUACACUGGGACCAUACAUUUCCAUAUGCUAUUGACCGUGUGACCAUAUGGUAAAGAGUGUUUUUCCUCUUGGCAGAAUACAGUGGAAACUUGCCUUUUCAGGCUCCUGAGAUUUAGCAAGUGUGACAAGAGCUUGUCUCUGUCUGUACUGUGUAUUGAGUGAAUGGUGGUGCUAUAGCUGAGCAUUAGGGCCCAGUGUCCAGCUUACCCACAGACUCCAGCAGUUGAUAACAUUGAGGAUUAGUUCUACAGAUCAGUGGACAGUUGAGCCUGGACUUAAUUGCAUCAAGAGGUAUGCUUGCAUAACACCGGAAAAGGUAAGUGAUCUUGUCUUUUGUUCCAUGCAAAUAAAGUACUACUUUCAUCAGCCGUGUUGAAAUACUACCAGGGUUCUGGCGUUACACUCCUGAAAAUGGAUUCACGGUGCAGAAAUUGUUUUUGUAAGCAGUAUUUCAAAUGUAUUUGGUACUUUGGCUCCCUCUGUGUAUUUCAGCUGCUCUGUAAUGUGUUCCACUCAGCAGCAGCAUCACUUCUUCAUGUAUUUAAGCAGUGUGCAGUAAUAGAAUUUAAGGACCUCAUUAAGUGGGGUGGUGGCGUUCUAUUGACUUCAUGUACUGCUUGGGCAGGAAAAAAUUGGUUUGUUUAUGGGGAAGGCUAUGGUUCUAAGAACUUAAAUCUGGAUAGAAAUAUUCAGAAAAUGCUUUUAUUUUUAGUCCACUUUUGAUUCAAGUUAAACAGCACUUGGAUUUCAUGGUUACAGUGUGGGGCUUGCUACAUUUUUUUUUUGUUUCCAAAAUAUCCCUUUUGCCUAAUUUAAGCUGAAGCAGCUACAUUUUUGACAAUUGCUGCUCCAGUUUCUUAUACAUACAAAAACUACAAAAAGUUUGGUGUGGUAAAGAUGUGUUUUUGAAACGUCAUGUGCUUACCGAAGAGAGUGAUGAUUCUAUGAAAAUGGUAUUACUGUGAAAUUAGUCCAAUUACAUUUUUUUCAGUUUUACUAUACUUUAAAAUGUAUUUCACUGCUGAAUUGUCAGCAGUCAUUUCUCCAGGCUUCAGGGUCACGUGAUCCUUCAGAAAUCAUUCUAUGAUGUUGAUUUGAUGCUCAAUAAAUAUUUCUUAAUCUUAUACUUUUUUGUUUUUGAAAGUCCGCUCAAAUAACGCUGAGGAUAUUUCUAUGCAGUAUACUUGCUCUUAUUAGAGUAGCGCUACUGUGAUGUAGCAUGGUGUACAGCUGUACUGGGCAACACUGGUUAAAUGAUGCUACCUUCACUGAUGCUCUGCUCAUAUGCUCUAAUAAUAAUAGUUUUGUAGGACUAUACAUUUAUUUGUAUAAUUGGUCCAAAAAAACUAUUUAUAUCUGAUUAUUUUACAUAGAACUGAAUAUAUUUAAUAUUAAUAGUAUUAUAUUUAAAAGUUUGGAUAUUUAAUAUUAAGGUAACAUUUUUCAGUAAGGCUCCAUUAGUUCAUGUAAGAUAAUGUUUUAAUUAACAUGAACCAUGAACAAUACAUUAAUUACAGUAUUCUUAAUGUUAAUAAAUUUAGAACAGAAUACAGUAGUAGAAUACAGUUGUUCACUGUUAGUUCAUGUUUAUUCAGACUGCAUUAACUGUGAACAAGUUGAAAUUAACAUAAACUAAGAUUAAUAAAUGCUGAAGUACUAUUGUUCAUUCUUAGUUUAAGAGUAGUUAACUUAUUAACCUUAUUGUAAAAUUACCAAUAUUAAUAUAUAUUCUGUCCAGUUUUGUUACUUUCAGUAAAGUCAUUUUUUUUUCAAUAUGAUUUAAAAUGUAGUUUUAAUUUAAAUGUAAUUUAAAAAGUCUUACAAAAUUACUUUAUAUUAUUUAAUAAAUUAUAAUCAUUGCAAAGCAUUUUCGUUUUUAGCCAAGCAAUCCAGAAUUUUCAUUUUUGUGCAUCCCUGUAAGACUAUAUGUUAUUAUUUCAUUUAAUUUAAAUUGAACAAUAAUUUGCUUUCAAAUGUUCCAAUUGCUGAAGGGCCUGCACAACUUUUAAGUACAAGUUCAAGUAGCAUUGUUCAAAAUACCUGGAGUAGCACAGCACUGAAUACCUGUUUACAUUUAAGGUGGACUACAAUAGACUAUAAUACAAAUAGUUGAGUUUUCCAGGAGCAUACAACAUAUUGACAGGUUUUCAUGAAAGUGUUGGUCAGUUUGUCUGCUGGACAAUCACUUUUUUCACUGCAGCAAUAAAACUGAAGUGAGAUAAACUGAGAAAUGUUUAUUUUUAGUUGAAACAGUUGUUGCCAAAGUUUUCCUCCGGGGACAUUAACUUGAAGUUGGAAAAGGGUAAUAAAUUGCAAUAUCGCAGAACAUCGCAAUAUAUUUAAAAUCACAAUAAUAUCGUAUUGUGAGGCCUCUGGUGAUUCCCACCUCUACUGUACUGUAAGGUUAGGUUUAGUGUUUGUUGCUUCUAAUUAUUCAUAAUUUACUGUAAUAUAGUUAAGUACAUUGCAACCAGGUCACCUUUAAAUAGUUCUCUUUUUUCUUUUUUUUUUCUGAGAAUUAAGUUCAAAAGAACAGCAUUUAUUUAAAUAAUGUUUUUUAUAGCAAUCUAAAAAUGUUAUCUUUUUAUCAUAUUUAUUUGUCAGCAUUUGCCAGUUACCCCAGUGGUGCUCUCUGAGUAGGGCUGCACAAACAAUCGCAUGUUGUUUGUCUGUGAUAAUGAAUGAUAGAUAGCGUAGCUUGUCAGUAAACUACAGCUUUGUGUAGUAAAUGCUGCUCCAUCUGAAAGCACGUCAUGGAGAUUUACUACUAAUCACAUGUGAGAAGCACAUGACAGUUGCAUGUGAUUUAUCUUGCAGCCCUAAUUUUGAGUUAUGUUCAUAUUACACACAAUUUCCAUUCAUUCCAUUCAAAAAAGUGCUUUUUGCAAAUGUCAAGCAUAUAAGACCCUCAAGACUCUUGAGUGCUUGUCUAUCAACUGUUGUAGUCUUUUAGCAAACUCCUAUAUUGGAUAGCCUUUACUUUUUGUUGUCUUGAUGUUGAAAAAUGUGUUUAAGGCAGUGUAAAUAGUUCUUUCUCUCUCCUUUUCUCAAUUCUCAACCCUGGCAGUCUUAAAUAGUCUGUUUGCUUCAUAACUACAUGGAUAUCACAGUUAUACUGCCUCCAGACUUUACAAACCUCCCUAUGUGGACUGGGUGGAAAAUACUCGGGGUAAUGAAACGGUGCUUUUAAAGUUUUCUCCCCAAUCUGCUUUGAUCCUUUAUUCUUCACAAAUAUUGCACUCAUGACAGUGACCUGUUCUCUAGCACUGUAUCGCAGCCAUGUUACUGAACAGCCUGUAGUAAGGGUGCCCUAAAUUCACUGUGUAUUCCUGCUCCUCCUGUGGAUGAUCGGGGUGCUUCUGUAAAACAUGUUUAUAGUGCUGGAUCAGCAUUCUGUGGGGGUGUGUGUUUGUUUAUCUGCACUGUGAUCCAUUCACCUUGGCCCCAGUCUGUCACUUUGAUAAUCCUAGUAUGGGCCUUGAGUUUCUACCUCUAUGGAGUGUGAUGCCAGAACUAACUUUGUGACCUAGUGGCUGCCUCAGAGAGGCAGAUCUUUAACACAUCUGUAAGAAAUUUGGGAUUGUGUUUGAGGUGUUGUCUGUAUGGAGUUCACAUGUCAUUGACUUUGUCAGUUAGUGAGCUGUACAGCAACUGUAAACAUGUUCUUGCAUGAGAUGAAGAAAUAUUUGCUCUUCACCUGUAUAUUCAAAAACAAAGUGACUUAGUUUUAACUUCAAUAUGCCUAACCAUUUAUUUCACCAUUAUGUGCUUGAGUAGUUGCCAUAAUAGGGUUUUUAUUUUUUGAAAGAACUUUAUUUAUUUUCAAAAAGUACUGCUGAAACUUUUACCCAAUAUUUUCAGAUCUUAUAUGCAGUAUUAAGUAUUAUUAAUGAUAACAGUCUGCUGUAAGUCAGUCAUAUAAAGCAGUUAACAUAGGACUGUGUAUAAUGGAUUAUUUCUGUAUCCUCAUUGCCUUUCUCUUACUGCAGGGGCCUCGGGUGAUUGAUGGAGGUUAAGCAGCAUCAUCAACUUUGAAAUAUGGAUCAACCGAGAAACCUGUUCUCAGCAACUGAGCAAUAUGGGCACGGAAUUUUCCUGUGCUCUGGACAAUAAUGUGGAGUCCUGUUGGAGUGUGCCGUGGCAGCUUGGGAAAUCACGCUGGAUGCAACAUGUUUAUAUCCAGUUUUUAAAUAAACUACAUAAAGAUCCCUAUGUCUGGUUUUGGGGAAAAAAAAUUAGAUGAAACCAUUGUAUUUUACUUGGUACUGCAAAACCUUGACCAUGUAGCUGACUUUGUUUUAGAGUUUCUAAAUAAUAAUUUAAUCACUUGGAAUGGCACAGUAUUUAAUGUCUAUUCAUUAAACUUGCUGGAAAAACUUGAUAGAGGUUUAAGAGUUUGUUCUGUAGGUUUACAAACGCAGACAGACCUCUGUAACCCAGUAGCACCCAGGCUGCUGUCCAGUAUCAAUUAAGGUCAAGGUGCUAUGUUUCUCUUGUUUUAUCACUGUUGUGUCCUAUUGGCUGACAGCUACUUCUGGAAAUCGUUCAAAAAGGAAAAUAAACCUGCAGUCUGAGAAGUGUGGUGCAGUAAAUGUGGGUUAGGGUUUUCUUGGCCAGUGUUUUUAAUAAAUGCACUUAAAGAGGAUUUUCACAGGGAUUGUUAAGUGUUAUUGACAAUGAAAUAUUACACUUGUGUAAUUUACGACUGAUAAAUUUGAUGAUUUGCAAACAUGUCUGUUUCCAGAAAAAGUUAGAAGUUUCAUGUGAUUUUCUCAUUGAAUUAAGAGAUUCUGAAGAAGAAAAAAUGUAUCCUAUAAUCUUUAUUAAUAAAUUUUAGUGUUUUAUAGUUUA